UACGGGGGGGGUAAGCGUUGUUCGGAAUUACUGGGCGUAAAGGGCUCGUAGGCGGCCAACUAAGUCAGACGUGAAAUCCCUCAGCUUAACUGGGGAACUGCGUCUGAUACUGGAUGGCUUGGAUUUGGGAGAGGGAUGCGGAAUUCCAGGUGUAGCGGUGAAAUGCGUAGAUAUCUGGAGGAACACCGGUGGCGAAGGCGGCAUCCUGGACCGGCAUUGACGCUGAGGAGCGAAAGCCAGGGGAGCAAACGGG
rnacentral:rRNA from 1 species